CCUACGGGUGGCAGCAGUCGGGAAUAUUGCGCAAUGGAGGAAACUCUGACGCAGUGACGCCGCGUAUAGGAAGAAGUUUUUAGGAAUGUAAACUAUUGUCGUUAGGGAAGAGAAAGGCAAGUACCUUAGGAGGAAGCUCCGGCUAACUACGUGCCAGCAGCCGCGGUACUACGUAGGGAGCGAGCGUUUUCCGGAAUUCUUGGGUGUAAAGGGUGCGUAGACGGGAAAACAAGUGAGUUGUGAAAUUCCUCGGCUUAACUGAGGAACUGCAACUAAAACUAUUUUUCUUGAGUGCAGGUGAGGUAAGUGGAAUUCCUAGUGUAGCGGUGAAAUGCGUAGAUAGUAGGAGGAACACCAGUGGCGAAGGCGAGUGACUGGACUGUAACUGACGUUGAGGCACGAAAGUGUGGGGAGCAAACAGGAUUAGAUACCCUAGUAGUC
rnacentral:rRNA from 1 species